rnacentral:rRNA from 1 species
GACAGAGGUGCCGAGCGUUAGGCGGAAUCACUGGGCUUAAAGCGUGUGUAGGCGGGCCGUUAAGUAUCUUGUGAAAUCCCCCGGCUCAACCGGGGAAUGGCUGGAUAUACUGGCGGUCUUGAGCGAUCUAGGGGCAGAUGGAACAAGUGGUGGAGCGGUGAAAUGCGUAGAUAUCAGGAGGAACACCAGUGGCGAAGGCGGCACUCUGGGCCGGUACUGACGCUGAGGAGCGAAAGCGUGGGGAGCGAACAGG